rnacentral:rRNA from 1 species
CCUACGGGAGGCAGCAGCCGCGGUAAUAUUGCGCAAUGGGGGAAACCCUGACGCAGCGGCGCCGCGUGAGCGAAGAAGGCCUUAGGGUCGUAAAGCUCUGUUUUAAGGGACGAAUGUCGCGGGUAAUAAUACGAUCUGCGAAUGACGGUACCUUAAGAGGAAGCCCCGGCUAACUACGUGCCAGCAGCCGCGGUAAU